rnacentral:rRNA from 1 species
UCAAGAAACUUCCACAAUGGGCGAAAGCCUGAUGGAGCGACGUCGCGUGAUGGACGAAGUGCUUCGGCACGUAAACAUCUUUUAUGUGGGAUGAAAUUAUUGACAGUACCACAUGAAUAAGGGGCUCCUAACUCUGUGCCAUCAGGAGCGGUAAUACAGAGGCCCCGAGCGUUAUCCGGAAUCACUGGGCGUAAAGGGUGUCGAGGCGGUUGUAUUAGUCGUUCGUAAAAUCUACGAGCUUAACUUGUAGGCGGCGAACGAAACGGUACGACUUGAGGUUUGGAGAGGUGCGUGGAACUCACGGUGUAGGGGUGAAAUCCGUUGAUAUCGUGGGGAACACCAAAGGCGAAGGCAGCGCACUGGCCAAAAUCUGACGCUCACACACGAAAGCUAGGGUAGCGAAGAGGAUUAGAUACCCAGGUAGUCCCUGAGCGGGCUGGCAAGGCGCAU